rnacentral:rRNA from 1 species
CAUGGAGGGUGAGAAUCCCGUUCGGUUAACCAAAGCGCUUUACGAUACGCUUUCAAAGAGUCAAGUUGUUUGGGAUUGCAGCUUAAAAUGGGAGGUAAAUUUCUCCUAAGGCUAAAUAUUGGCGAGAGACCGAUAGCGAACAAGUACCGUGAGGGAAAGAUGAAAAGAACUUUGAAAAGAGAGUUAAACAGUACGUGAAAUUGUUGAAAGGGAAACGAUUAAAGUCAGUCGUACCUACGAGUGAUCAACCUACUCGAGUGCGAUUUUGUGGGUAUGUUAGAGCUUAAAAACCUUCAUGCUUACAAAUUGGUGCUCUUUGGGCGUACUUUCUCGUAUGGUAGGUUAACAUCAAUUUCGAUCGUUAUAAAAUGACUGGAGGAAUGUAGCUUCGAUCUUGGUUGAAGUGUUAUAGCCUUUGGUAGAUGUAAUGAUUGGGAUUGAGGAUUGCAACGGAUACCCUCUGGGCUAUUCGUCUGAUCUCUGGAAGUUACCAUGGUGUCGAAAGCGUGCUUACGAUAUUAAGGUUGACGGCCAAUAGGUUAGAACGUGAUUAAAUUCGUUAAGGAUGUUGACGUAAUGG